rnacentral:rRNA from 1 species
UACGAAGGGGGCUAGCGUUGUUCGGAAUUACUGGGCGUAAAGCGCGCGCAGGCGGCUCUUCAAGUCAGGGGUGAAAGCCCAGAGCUCAACUCUGGAACUGCCUUUGAGACUGAAGAGCUUGAGUACGGGAGAGGUGAGUGGAAUUCCCAGUGUAGAGGUGAAAUUCGUAGAUAUUGGGAAGAACACCGGUGGCGAAAGGCGGCUCACUGGGCCCGUUACUGACGCUCAGGCGCGACAGCGUGGGGAUCAAACA